rnacentral:tRNA from 1 species
GGGGGUUUAGCUUAGUGGCAGAAGUGCCUGCCUGACAAGCAUGAGGUCAUGAGUUUGAUCCCCUA